UUUGGUUCAUUAAAGGUUGGGAAACAUUGGCUCAUCUCUGCUAGGUCAGACCUGUUUAUCCAAACAAUUCCAGACUGGCAGUUACUGCUGAAGUAACGUAUUUGAGUUUCGCAGUCGACUGUACAGGAAAAGAAUAGUGCUAGUGCUUGACAGGUGUGCCUGAUGUGUGCAGACGAAUACACUACAAACGCAGAUUAUGUAAUGAAGUCGCAUUCAAAUUAAUUCUACGAUCUCUGUUUAGGUAUGUUUCAAACAUGUCGCAAAUUCGAAUGUAGGGCAAUGGUUGAACUUCGGCUAAAAAGGAAACUUCCAAUGCUCCCGGGUUGUUGCUUCCUGGGAAUGACAACCAGGCGAAACUCUCCGACGCCUCUCCACCUCCCGACACCAUGACGUCACUUGUCAAGUACCGUCAAACCCAUCUCCAACAGAAGAGGUCUCACUCUUGUAUAAAAUUCCCAAUUUGAAACGAACGCGGUCGGGAAAGAAAAAAAAGGCAACAUUUUUUUGUCUUUGACGUGAACGUGGAAUAUAUACGUUGACAUUGUUUUAUCGCGUAGACAAGAGAAUAGAGAAUCAACGUCUACAACAAAAAACAAAACAACACGUAAACAUAGACACAAUUUCAUUCAUUAUCCGAACCGCUUCUCUGUUAAAAUAAAUGAAUAAGUAAUUGUGAACUCGUGACUGAAUUUAACAUAAUUCAGCGUUUGAUGUGUAAUUAAAAAAAACUCCAAAGUCGCCACUUUCAGAAGUGAGUUUGAUUGAUUGUUACCCAAAACGUAAGCAUUGUUGUGUAUAUUCAAUCUUCGUCCAUGACUUGUCCAGUUCCACAGAAGCACAGAGAUUGUUUGAUGGCGCAAGCAGCUGGAGGCAGAUGAGACCUGGUUGUCAGGUAAACUUGUGUUGGCGGCGUGCAUCCCUUCUUGCCAAAGACAGACUGCGAGGCCUGGCCCUCAACAUCUGCUCCAGAGACUGUACCAUCUGGAUGAGGCAUUGAGGAAGAGCUUGGUUCCCUGUGUCUGAGCAGCUGCAGGGCCUCAGACAACGACCUGAAUGCGGCCUGUAGAGAUAGAGUACGCUGCCAAAACACAGCCUGAACCUUUGUUUGCGCAUUUGUCUCACUUAAAUCAGCCAUGUUUGUCUGUUGGCCUUUUUGUCCAGACCAUCAGCAGUAGAAAAAAAAACUACACAUUGGAUUGUUAAGACCUUUUAUUCCAUCAGGUUGAAAGAAACAAUUUCAAAACUGUGUACAAAGUUUAUAUUAUUUGUUUACGAAAGCUGGUGUCCUCAGUCUUGCGGAUAUGGUAGGGCAGGUACAAAAAGUUGCAAUAAAAAACAAAAAAUAUCAAACAAA